UGGCCUUGACAUCCCCGUAAACCUUAUGAAAGUAAGGGUUCCCCGCGAUGGGACUGGGUGAC
rnacentral:rRNA from 1 species